AAGCUCGUAGUUGAAUUUCGGGAUUAGUACGUCGGUCGUGCCUUAGGUACGUACUGGUGUUACUGGUUCCUACCUUCUGACGAACCAUCAUGUCAUUAAUUUGGUGUGGUGGGGAAUCAGGACAGUUACUUUGAAAAAAUUAGAGUGUUUAAAGCAGGCUCGCGCUUGAAUACAUUAGCAUGGAAUAAUGAAAUAGGACGUUGAUCCUAUUUUGUUGGUUUCUAGGAUUGACGUAAUGAUUAAUAGGGAUAGUUGGG
rnacentral:rRNA from 1 species